GAUCCUGGCUCAGGAUGAACGCUGGCGGCGUGCUUAACACAUGCAAGUCGAACGGAGUGCCUUUGAAAGAGGAUUCGUCCAAUUGAUAAGGUUACUUAGUGGCGGACGGGUGAGUAACGCGUGAGGAACCUGCCUUGGAGUGGGGAAUAACACAGUGAAAAUUGUGCUAAUACCGCAUAAUGCAGUUGGGCCGCAUGGCUCUGACUGCCAAAGAUUUAUCGCU
rnacentral:rRNA from 1 species